AUUGAACGCUGGCGGCAGGCCUAACACAUGCAAGUCGAACGAGUGGCGGACGGGUGAGUAAUGUCUGGGAAACUGCCUGAUGGAGGGGGAUAACUACCGGAAACGGUAGCUAAUACCGCAUACCAUCAGAUGUACCCAGAUGGGAUUAGCUAGUUGGUGGGGGAACGGCUCACAAAGGCGACGAUCCCUAGCUGGUCUGAGAGGAUGACCGGCACCACGGGACCGGAGACCCGGUCCAGAUCCCUAGGGGAGGCAGCAGUGGGGAACAUUGCACAAUGGGCGCAAUCCUGAUGCAGAACUGCCGCGUGUAUGAAGAAGGCUUUCGGGUUGUAAACUACUUUCAGCGGGGAGGCGUUACCCGCAGAAGAAGCACCGGCUAACUCCGUGCCAGCAGCCGCGGUAAUUC
rnacentral:rRNA from 1 species